rnacentral:rRNA from 1 species
AGUGAACGCUGGCGGUAGGCCUAACACAUGCAAGUCGAACGGCAGCACAGUAAGAGCUUGCUCUUACGGGUGGCGAGUGGCGGACGGGUGAGGAAUACAUCGGAAUCUACUUUUUCGUGGGGGAUAACGUAGGGAAACUUACGCUAAUACCGCAUACGACCUACGGGUGAAAGCAGGGGAUCUCGGACCUUGCGCGAUUGAAUGAGCCGAUGUCGGAUUAGCUAGUUGGCGGGGUAAAGGCCCACCAAGGCGACGAUCCGUAGCUGGUCUGAGAGGAUGAUCAGCCACACUGGAACUGAGACACGGUCCAGACUCCUACGGGAGGCAGCAGUGGGGAAUAUUGGACAAUGGGCGCAAGCCUGAUCCAGCCAUACCGCGUGGGUGAAGAAGGCCUUCGGGUUGUAAAGCCCUUUUGUUGGGAAAGAAAAGCAGCAGGUUAAUACCCCGCUGUUCCGACGGUACCCAAAGAAUAAGCACCGGCUAACUUCGUG